GAUGAACGCUAGCGGCAGGCCUAAUACAUGCAAGUCGAACGGUGUCUUCGGACAUAGUGGCGCACGGGUGCGUAACACGUAUGCAACCUACCUUACAUUGGGGGAUAGCCUUUCGAAAGGGAGAUUAAUACCGCAUAAGACAGUAGCUGGGCAUCCAGCAGCUGUUAAAGAUUUAUCGAUGUAAGCUGGGCAUGCGUCCAAUUAGCUAGUUGGUGAGGUAACGGCUCACCAAGGCAAUGAUUGGUAGGGGAACUGAGAGGUCAAUCCCCCACACGGGCACUGAGAUACGGGCCAGACUCCUACGGGAGGCAGCAGUAGGGAAUAUUGGGCAAUGGACGCAACUCUGACCCAGCCAUGCCGCGUGCAGGAUGAAGGCGUUAUGCGUUGUAAACUGCUUUUAUACAGGAAGAAACGACUCUUUCGAGAGGCAUUGACGGUACUGUAUGAAUAAGCACCGGCUAACUCCGUGCCAGCAGCCGCCGUAACAC
rnacentral:rRNA from 1 species